AUUGAACGCUGGCGGCAUGCUUUACACAUGCAAGUCGAACGGCAGCGCGGGCUUCGGCCUGGCGGCGAGUGGCGAACGGGUGAGUAAUGCAUCGGAACUUGCCCAGUAGUGGGGGAUAGCCCGGCGAAAGCCGGAUUAAUACCGCAUACGACCUGAGGGUGAAAGCGGGGGACCGAAAGGCCUCGCGCUAUUGGAGCGUCCGAUGUCGGAUUAGCUAGUUGGUGGGGUAAAGGCUUACCAAGGCGACGAUCCGUAGCUGGUCUGAGAGGACGACCAGCCACACUGGGACUGAGACACGGCCCAGACUCCUACGGGAGGCAGCAGUGGGGAAUUUUGGACGAUGGGGGCAACCCUGAUCCAGCCAUGCCGCGUGAGGGAAGAAGGCCUGCGGAUUGUAAACCGCUUUUGUUCGGGAAGAAAUCCUCUGGGAUAAUACCGCGGGGGGAUGACGGUACCGGAAGAAUAAGCACCGGCUAACUACGUG
rnacentral:rRNA from 1 species